rnacentral:rRNA from 1 species
AUGAACGCUGGCGGCGUGCCUAAUUCCUGCAAGUCGCGCGAACAGACGAGGAGCUUGCUCCUCUGACGUUAGCGGCGGACGGGUGAGUAACACGUGGAUAACCUACCUAUAAGACUGGGAUAACUUCGGGAAACCGGAGCUAAUACCGGAUAAUAUAUUGAACCGCAUGGUUCAAUAGUGAAAGACGGUUUUGCUGUCACUUAUAGAUGGAUCCGCGCCGCAUUAGCUAGUUGGUAAGGUAACGGCUUACCAAGGCAACGAUGCGUAGCCGACCUGAGAGGGUGAUCGGCCACACUGGAACUGAGACACGGUCCAGACUCCUACGGGAGGCAGCAGUAGGGAAUCUUCCGCAAUGGGCGAAAGCCUGACGGAGCAACGCCGCGUGAGUGAUGAAGGUCUUCGGAUCGUAAAACUCUGUUAUUAGGGAAGAACAAAUGUGUAAGUAACUAUGCACGUCUUGACGGUACCUAAUCAGAAAGCCACGGCUAACUACGUG